CGUGGAGACAGGUGGUGCAUGGCUGUCGUCAGCUCGUGUCGUGAGAUGUUGGGUUAAGUCCCGCAACGAGCGCAACCCUCACCCCUUGUUGCCACCGGGUUAUGCCGAGCACUCUAGGGGAACUGCCAGCGUCAAGCUGGAGGAAGGCGGGGAUGACGUCAAGUCAUCAUGCCCCUUACGUCCUGGGCUACACACGUGCUACAAUGGCCGGUACAAAGGGAUGCCACACCGCGAGGUAGAGCUAAACCCAAAAAGCCGGUCUAAGUUCAGAUUGGAGUCUGCAACUCGACUCCAUGAAGGAGGAAUCGCUAGUAAUCGCGUAUCAGCACGACGCGGUGAAUACGUUCCCGGGCCUUGUACACACCGCCCGUCACACCACGAAAGCCUGCUGUACUCGAAGUCGCUGAG
rnacentral:rRNA from 1 species